rnacentral:rRNA from 1 species
UACGAAGGGGGCUAGCGUUGUUCGGAAUUACUGGGCGUAAAGCGCACGUAGGCGGACUACUAAGUCAGGGGUGAAAUCCCGGGGCUCAACCCCGGAACUGCCUUUGAUACUGAUAGUCUCGAGUCCGGAAGAGGUGAGUGGAAUUCCGAGUGUAGAGGUGAAAUUCGUAGAUAUUCGGAAGAACACCAGUGGCGAAGGCGGCUCACUGGACUGGUAUUGACGCUGAGGUGCGAAAGCGUGGGGAGCAAACAGG